GGGAGAUGACACAAAACCAAACCAUAUCAGUCUUUAAAGAGUUAAGUUAAAAUAAGCUCUUUAAAGUGGGCCCUAAUCCAGUAUGACUGGUGUUCUUAUAAGAAGAGGAGAUUUGGUCACAGACAUGGUUGCAUGCAGAAUAAAGACUUUUCGAGGACACACUGAGAAGGCAGCCAUCUGCAAAACAAGGAAAGAGUCCUCAGCAGAAACCAGUCCUGCAGACUCCUUGAUCUUGGACUUCCAGCCACUGCAAUUGAUGUCAAGCUUCAGCACCCUUGCAUCUCUGGAUAAAUGAAAUGUCACCCCAGCUGCCGUCCUUGUUCAGAUCUGUGCAAUAAAGAGCAAAGCAUAAAACCAAGUCAAGGCUUUGAGGGAGUGACCUACAAAAUGCAUAAUGUGAAACAAUGCAAAAGCGAAAGGUGCAAAAUCCCCAUCAAAGAGCUGGAGGCUGACAGAUGCGCCAGUGAUAAUUCCCAUCUUCCAACACAGGAGCACAGCUUCCAUUUUCCAUAACAGAACAACAGCCAGAGCAGCUGGAAGGCAGGGCCGCAUCCCAGACUUCCACCAACAAUGGGAUGAGACUUGACAUCUGGAAUCACAACCACAACAGACCUGAGAGACCCACCAGCUUGAUGACAAGCUUCUUCUUUCAAAGAAAGUUUUAGGCGGUCAUGACCAUGGGAUGCUGGACCAGGAUGGUAAGCUUCAGGAAACAGAAUCUGGAGAAUGCCCAGCUGCUCCCACAGGAAGCAUCAGGGAAGAAGAAGAAGAGGUGUGAAGUCUGCCUUCUGCUCUGCUGGGAUCCCUUUCACAUCUCCUUUGCCUCCAGGCAGUUUUGGUUCCUGGCCAUUUCCAGGUGUGACUCACUCAGGAUGGUAAGCAUCUUCUCUCCUACCCAGAGUAGAGGAUGAAGACCUCAUCUCAGAGGUUGAAGGGAGCUCCAGAGAGAGGUCUCAAACUUCCAGCAUUAACUGCUAAAGAAGCUUCAUGAGCUGCUGGAGAACCUGGGAAAUGACCAAUUAUAGGGACAGAGCUCAAAUACUCUGGGACACUCUAGUAGCUGAGAAAGUUCCAACUCCAGGGUGAUAGAGGACUGCCUGGCAAACCAUCAUCAAAGCAGAAGACCUGAUACUAACAUCACAGGCUAUGGUUUAUUACUGAAGAUCAGUGCUUACACCCUGCCAGAGGUUCAGAAGCAAACUUAUCAUUGUUCUCCCUGGAGAUGUUGGCCCACAUUCUGAAAAGUGUGGUCAGUAGUAGCAACAGAAAGCAAUUGUGCUUGCCAAGCACAAUGUCACUGUCCCCAGCCCUUCCCCCAACACAACCCAGUAGGUGCUUCCUGGCUGCAAACUUGGGAAAGUCACUUGACCUGUCUGAGGUUCCACUUCCUAAUCUGGCCUGGCGAAGAUAAGAAAAACAGUUUAUUUAAAGUGUCUAGCAAAGUGCUUGGACCAAAAUAGGACCUCUGAAAUGGUUAUGGUAGUGCUGUUAAGGUGAUGUUUUAAGUGCUGAUGAGCACAAAGAUGGGUAAGAUAUUCCUUCUGUUAAAAUCUACAGUCUAAUGAGAGAGAACAAGAUGAAUGCACAAUAACUGUCAUUCAGAACAGGAUUAUGAGAAGGUGUGAAUUUCUGUGAAAAAUCAGAACAGGGAGUAAUAUGAUCCCAGGUGAUUGGCAGGGGGUGGGGGUCUGGAUUCAACUGGAGAGGGAGCUGGCAGGGAAGGCUUCCUGGAGGAUGAGAGUUCAACAAGGGGCAGGUGUAGGAUGUGGGUGGCCAAGUGACUGGGCAGAAGGAGCUGCAGAAGUAAGACCCCAAAUCAGGAAGACAAGGGCCUGCUGAGAAACACGAGCUACAAAGUGCAAGUGCAGGAAGAGUUGGGAUGAGAUUAGAAGGGGGUCUGGGGCCAGACUGUGGAAGGCCCAAAUGCCGGGCUAAGGAGUUUGUACUUAAUUCAGUGGUCAACGGGGAGUCAUUGGAGGCUGUUGAGCAGGAGAGUUGCUUUCUUUACAGCUGUGCCAGACUAAAUUAAACCUAAACAGUACUUUAUAGCUGGAAAGGGAAGGCCCAGGAAUAGCUCUUGACUCAGAAACAGGCAUUGGGGAAGGUAAUGAGAAACAGCCGUGACUGAUCAAAGCAGAGAGGUUAAUUAAAUUUGUAAUUAUUGUGAAAGGCCAUUAAAAACCCUAGUUCACUAGAGAUAACUGCUCUAGUGGGGCUUCAAAGACAAACGCUUCUUUUAACCUUGAAUAGGGGGAUGUUUGCUUCUCUGUGGAGGAGAUAUGAUUAAGAUACUUAAUAAAUGGUAGAUAAACAUG
ensembl:lncRNA LINC02099 long intergenic non-protein coding RNA 2099